UACGUAGGCAGCGAGCGUUGUUCGGAAUUACUGGGCGUAAAGAGUGUGUAGGCGGUGCUCUAAGUUCGGUGUGAAAUCUCCCGGCUUAACUGGGAGGGUGCGCCGGAAACUGGAGUGCUCGAGCGUGGGAGAGGAAAGCGGAAUUCCUGGUGUAGCGGUGAAAUGCGUAGAUAUCAGGAGGAACACCUGCGGUGUAGACGGCUUUCUGGACCAUUGCUGACGCUGAGACACGAAAGCGGGGGUAGCAAACAGG
rnacentral:rRNA from 1 species